GGGGUUGUGGCUCAGCGGUAGAGCACUCACCUAGCAUGUGUGAGGCCCUGGGUUCGAUCCUCAGCACCACG
rnacentral:tRNA from 1 species